GACGAACGCUGGCGGCGUGCCUAAUACAUGCAAGUCGAGCGGACUGAUUAAGAGCUUGCUCUUAUGACGUUAGCGGCGGACGGGUGAGUAACACGUGGGCAACCUGCCCUGUAGAUCGGGAUAACACCGAGAAAUCGGUGCUAAUACCGGGUAAUAUCUGAGAUCACAUGAUCUUAGGUUAAAAGAUGGCUCCGGCUAUCACUACAGGAUGGGCCCGCGGCGCAUUAGCUAGUUGGUAAGGUAAUGGCUUACCAAGGCGGCGAUGCGUAGCCGACCUGAGAGGGUGAUCGGCCACACUGGGACGGGGACACGGCCAAGACUCCUACGGGAGGCAGCAGUAGGGAAUCUGCCGCAAUGGACGAAAGUCUGACGGAGCAACGCCGCGUGAGUGAUGAAGGGUUGCGGCUCGUAAAGCUCUGUUGUUAGGGAAGAAACAGUACCGAACGAACUAGGUCGGUACCUUGACGGUACCUAACCAGAAAGCCACGGCUAACUACGUG
rnacentral:rRNA from 1 species